AAAUCGUACCCCAAACCGACACAGGUGGUCAGGUAGAGAAUACCAAGGCGCUUGAGAGAACUCGGGUGAAGGAACUAGGCAAAAUGGUGCCGUAACUUCGGGAGAAGGCACGCUGGUGUGUAGGUGAAGUCCCUGCGGAUGGAGCUGAGACCAGUCGAAGAUACCAGCUGGCUGCAACUGUUUAUUAAAAACACAGCACUGUGCAAACACGAAAGUGGACGUAUACGGUGUGACGCCUGCCCGGUGCCGGAAGGUUAAUUGAUGGGGUUAUCCGUAAGGAGAAGCUCUUGAUCGAAGCCCCGGUAAACGGCGGCCGUAACUAUAACGGUCCUAAGGUAGCGAAAUUCCUUGUCGGGUAAGUUCCGACCUGCACGAAUGGCGUAAUGAUGGCCAGGCUGUCUCCACCCGAGACUCAGUGAAAUUGAACUCGCUGUGAAGAUGCAGUGUACCCGCGGCAAGACGGAAAGACCCCGUGAACCUUUACUAUAGCUUGACACUGAACAUUGAGCCUUGAUGUGUAGGAUAGGUGGGAGGCUUUGAAGCGUGGACGCCAGUCUGCGUGGAGCCAACCUUGAAAUACCACCCUUUAAUGUUUGAUGUUCUAACGUUGGCCCCUUACCGGGGUUGCGGACAGUGUCUGGUGGGUAGUUUGACUGGGGCGGUCUCCUCCUAAAGCGUAACGGAGGAGCACGAAGGUUAGCUAAUCCUGGUCGGACAUCAGGAGGUUAGUGCAAUGGCAUAAGCUAGCUUGACUGCGAGCGUGACGGCGCGAGCAGGUGCGAAAGCAGGUCAUAGUGAUCCGGUGGUUCUGAAUGGAAGGGCCAUCGCUCAACGGAUAAAAGGUACUCCGGGGAUAACAGGCUGAUACCGCCCAAGAGUUCAUAUCGACGGCGGUGUUUGGCACCUCGAUGUCGGCUCAUCACAUCCUGGGGCUGAAGUAGGUCCCAAGGGUAUGGCUGUUCGCCAUUUAAAGUGGUACGCGAGCUGGGUUUAGAACGUCGUGAGACAGUUCGGUCCCUAUCUGCCGUGGGCGCUGGAGAAUUGAGGGGGGCUGCUCCUAGUACGAGAGGACCGGAGUGGACGCAUCACUGGUGUUCGGGUUGUCAUGCCAAUGGCACUGCCCGGUAGCUAAAUGCGGAAGAGAUAAGUGCUGAAAGCAUCUAAGCACGAAACUUGCCCCGAGAUGAGUUCUCCCUGAGACUUUAAGUCUCCUGAAGGAACGUUGAAGACGACGACGUUGAUAGGCCGGGUGUGUAAGCGCAGCGAUGCGUUGAGCUAACCGGUACUAAUGAACCGUGAGGCUUAACCUU
rnacentral:rRNA from 1 species